GUGACACAGACCCUAUGUGUUCCACAAAAGUGAAAUAUUUACUGUCUGGUCCUUUAUAGAACAAAGUGUGUUGAUUCCUGGUCUUCUAGACUAUUCAAUGGAUCUUGUCCUUUGGCUGUGGCUGAGGCAGGUGGCUGGAAUUCAGUAGGAAGGACGACACCUGGCAGGCUGAGAAUUUUGAACUGGGGCCUCAGGAAAGUAAUGAUUUUUUUUUUUUUUUUUUUUUUUUUUUUUUUUUUUGAGACGGAGUCUCGCUCUGUCGCCCAGGCUGGAGUGCAGUGGCGCGAUCUGGGCUCACUGCAAGCUCCGCCUCCCGGGUUCCCGCCAUUCUCCUGCCUCAGCCUCCCCAGUAGCUGGGACUACAGGCGCCCGCCACCACGCCCGGCUAAUUUUUUGUAUUUUUAGUAGGGACCGGGUUUCACCAUGUUGGCCAGGAUCGUCUCGAUCUCCUGACCUCGUGAUCCGCCCGCCUCGACCUUCCAAAGUGCUGGGAUUCCAGGAGUGAGCCACCGCGCCCGACCGUAAUGAAUUCUUAAUAUUCCUUUCUGUGCCCUGUUUCAGUCUUUUUCUGCAAUGUACUCAUUUCCUCUGCUUUUCUUUUUCACACAGUAAGUAGACAGUCAUCCCUUUCCAUCUCACUUUCUAAUUUUCUCUGAAAUAUUAUUUAUUUUUGAAGGGAUUCUGACUGAUCCCAUCCAUAGAUCAGACAUGACCAUCGGACAGAAUCACAUUGCAAAAAAUAGCUUCCAGGAGCCUUUCUUGUGGACCAUGCAGAAGAGAGGCUUAGAGAGAACUGCCCUUAAGGCUGGCCAAAUGGGGUCUCUGGCCUCGCCUGUUCCUCAGGCACCCCGUUGCAUCUUGGAAUACCCUUCUCAACAUUUUCUAAGUCUCUCAUCAGUGGCUGCAGUCAGCCCAGGCUGGUAGUGCCUGGCCUGAGAUCCGCAUGGGAUCCUAUUCUCUUUCUCUCCUUUGGGGCUUUCUCCCACCCUCAACCCUUCCUUCCAGCACAGGAAGCCCUAAGGAGCUUCAGGACUCAUGUCUGUAGUGUUGUCUUGGGGCCAGGACUGGUUCCAGGUGAGUUAGCCCUGGUUAGAGAUGUCAUAGUUCCCAGAGAAAAGGGGCUAGAUAGACAAUUCAAUACUUUUUCUUUAACCACACAGUGUGGAAACAGAAAUUGAAUAACAAUGUACUCUUGAGGAAUAGAGGAAAGUUUAUUUUAAGACAGGAGGAUGUGGGACCAGUAAAAACAUUAAACCACUUUUACAGCUGUACUUAGUGAGUUAGGUGGAUAUUUUAAUUAAUUUCGUCUGAAAAGAAAUUAUACAAUCUAAAACUGAUUUUAUUGAUUCUUUUGAUACUGUGAAUAUUUCUUCAAGUCAUCUUUUUAAUUUGUAAAGUUAUUUUUGAAAAUGCCAUUUUAUCUAGACAGUGCUAAUAAAAACAAGAAAGUGUUUGUCCACAUUUGAGUCAAGAUUGCAAAAAACCCCACAAAAACCCAGGUGUAGGGGUGGCAAUAGCAGAGCCAAAGAGCUUCGCAAGGAGGAGAAGCAGAAGCUCGUGGGGAUGGGAAGUCUUUGGGGGCUCUUCAUACUUGAUGGAUUUCGUCAAGUUUUUCCCUUGCUCUCUCUCAUGAGUUCACUUCAUUUUUAAUGGGAUUAUUUACUUUUCAAAAAUUAAACAAUCCAGAUAAAUACAAUAUACUAGUGGCAUGCAAAAGAAAUAAAUAUUAAGUGUUUCAUUUGCUUAAAAUUUUAAAAUAAAUAAAAUAUAAAAACAUUGGGGUCCAUUUUAUUCCUUUCUGGUAAUUCUUCUUAACUCUUCUCAGCCGGGCGCGGUGGCUCACGC
rnacentral:lncRNA from 1 species